GCCAGCAGCGGGGAGAGCUGGGGGGGGACCCUCUUCUGCUGCGCCCCAAUCCCUCCUCCCCUCACCCCUACACCCUUGCAUCAGACAGAGGGGCCGCUCCACCACCCCACGCCCCCACUCCAAGGCAGUGGCGAUGUUUUCCGGACCCCAAAUCAAGAGCCUGGUGUGAGAGGCAGGGUGUUUGGAAACAUUGCCAGAAGGAACAGGAAUUAUAAACAGAGCUCUGCACUGGGAAGGAAAGGAAGCCGAGAGGACCCAUCUGAGAGAUCAGGGGCAGUGGUGAGGACCCCGUCAGCAAGCUCUCUCCGCCACGUGCCGAACCCGUGUGUGGAUCAGCGAGUUCUGGGCUGGCAAGGCCUCUGAAGAGUCUCCUGGGCCCGGAGCUCCCCUCGAGACAGCAGGGGUUGCUGACAGAUACUGGGCCAGCAGGACCAGCCUAACAGGCACCUCCAGCUGGCGGGCCCCAUGCCGUGUGUCAGCCUCUGCGGCCCGCACUUCCCAGACGUCAUCCCAAAUGACUGGCUAAGCCCCGUGAAUAGAAACUAUUAUCCUUGUACCCCUUUUACAGGUGAGGGAACCGAGGCACAGAGAGGUUAAGUGAGUUGCCCACAGUCACCCAGAGAACGAGCCGCACGCAGUGCCCGCAUUUAAACCCUCAUGCUGACUCCAAGAGAAGGCGAAAGUGUCCAGCUCACCCGUACCGGAAGAGGAAAGGGGUGACAGGGGACAGCAGCCCAGAGCACCUCGGGAAGUGACUGGGGGCAGGGCCGGGAUCAGGUCAGGCAAGCGAGGAGCACGAGGAGAUGGAGCUUAACCCUCCCUGCCCUUGCGUGUGGGCUGGACUCAGUGGCUCGGGUCUAAAGAAUAGAGUAUGGAAACAGCAAAGCAGCAGCUGCACAGUGGAGAAGGCUGCCAGACACCACCGUAACCAAGUGAUCCGGUGCACAGCCGUCACCAGGACAUCAUGCUGAUGUCGGGAACACCCCCACGGACGUCAUGUAGAUCUCAUGAACGUCCUCAGGGGGGGUCACGUGGACGUCAUGAACAUCCCCAGGGACGUCAUGGGGAUGUCGUGAACUCCCUGAUCAGAAGGGAUGAGAGGGCACUUCAUCUCCCAUCCCAUUCCCCCAAAACCUGUAACCCCAGACUAAUCAUGAGAAAAACACCAGACAAACCCACAUCCAGGGAUGUUUGACAAAUACCUUCGGGGACCUACAAAUACAAGGACUCUUCAACACUGUCAAGGUCAUGAAAAAUAAGGAAAGACUGAGAAAUGGCC